CGCUAGCUACAGGCUUAACACAUGCAAGUCGAGGGGCAGCAUGGUCUUAGCUUGCUAAGGCCGAUGGCGACCGGCGCACGGGUGAGUAACACGUAUCCAACCUGCCGUCUACUCUUGGACAGCCUUCUGAAAGGAAGAUUAAUACAAGAUGGCAUCAUGAGUCCGCAUGUUCACAUGAUUAAAGGUAUUCCGGUAGACGAUGGGGAUGCGUUCCAUUAGAUAGUAGGCGGGGUAACGGCCCACCUAGUCUUCGAUGGAUAGGGGUUCUGAGAGGAAGGUCCCCCACAUUGGAACUGAGACACGGUCCAAACUCCUACGGGAGGCAGCAGUGAGGAAUAUUGGUCAAUGGGCGAGAGCCUGAACCAGCCAAGUAGCGUGAAGGAUGACUGCCCUAUGGGUUGUAAACUUCUUUUAUAAAGGAAUAAAGUCGGGUAUGCAUACCCGUUUGCAUGUACUUUAUGAAUAAGGAUCGACUAACUCCGUGCCAGCAGCCGCGGUAAUACGGAGGAUCCGAGCGUUAUCCGGAUUUAUUGGGUUUAAAGGGAGCGUAGAUGGAUGUUUAAGUCAGUUGUGAAAGUUUGCGGCUCAACCGUAAAAUUGCAGUUGAUACUGGAUAUCUUGAGUGCAGUUGAGGCAGGCGGAAUUCGUGGUGUAGCGGUGAAAUGCUUAGAUAUCACGAAGAACUCCGAUUGCGAAGGCAGCCUGCUAAGCUGCAACUGACAUUGAGGCUCGAAAGUGUGGGUAUCAAACAGGAUUAGAUACCCUGGUAGUCCACACGGUAAACGAUGAAUACUCGCUGUUUGCGAUAUACGGCAAGCGGCCAAGCGAAAGCGUUAAGUAUUCCACCUGGGGAGUACGCCGGCAACGGUGAAACUCAAAGGAAUUGACGGGGGCCCGCACAAGCGGAGGAACAUGUGGUUUAAUUCGAUGAUACGCGAGGAACCUUACCCGGGCUUAAAUUGCAGAUGAAUUACGGUGAAAGCCGUAAGCCGCAAGGCAUCUGUGAAGGUGCUGCAUGGUUGUCGUCAGCUCGUGCCGUGAGGUGUCGGCUUAAGUGCCAUAACGAGCGCAACCCUUGUUGUCAGUUACUAACAGGUUCCGCUGAGGACUCUGACAAGACUGCCAUCGUAAGAUGUGAGGAAGGUGGGGAUGACGUCAAAUCAGCACGGCCCUUACGUCCGGGGCUACACACGUGUUACAAUGGGGGGUACAGAGGGCCGCUACCACGCGAGUGGAUGCCAAUCCCAAAAACCUCUCUCAGUUCGGACUGGAGUCUGCAACCCGACUCCACGAAGCUGGAUUCGCUAGUAAUCGCGCAUCAGCCACGGCGCGGUGAAUACGUUCCCGGGCCUUGUACACACCGCCCGUCAAGCCAUGGGAGCCGGGGGUACCUGAAGUGCGUAACCGCGAGGAGCGCCCUAGGGUAAAACUGGA
rnacentral:rRNA from 1 species